AAGUCGUAACAAGGUCUCCGUCGGUGAACCAGCGGAGGGAUCAUUAUAGAGUGUUAAAACUCCCUAAACCCGUGUGAACAAUACCUUUUGUUGCUUCGGCGAGUCGUCCCGGGCGCCGCUGCGUGCCCCGGAUCCAGGGGCUCGCCGGAGGACUCCAACUCUUGUUUUGCAAGUGGUAUCUCUGAGUGUACCAAACAAAUAAAUCAAAACUUUCAACAACGGAUCUCUUGGUUCUGGCAUCGAUGAAGAACGCAGCGAAAUGCGAUAAGUAAUGCGAAUUGCAGAAUUCAGUGAAUCAUCGAAUCUUUGAACGCACAUUGCGCCCGCCAGUAUUCUGGCGGGCAUGCCUGUCCGAGCGUCAUUUCAACCCUCGACCCCUCCUUCGCGGUGGGAUCGGUGUUGGGGAUCGCCUGUCCCUCGCGGCGGGCGCCCCCGAAAUCGAGUGGCGGUCUCGCUGUAGCCUCCUCUGUGUAGUAACAUAACACCUCGCAGGCGGAGAGCGGCGCGGCCACGCCGUAAAACCCCCGACUUCUCAAGGUUGACCUCGGAUCAGGUAGGAAUACCCGCUGAACUUA
rnacentral:rRNA from 1 species